UCAAAUCAGGUAGGACUACCCGCUGAACUUAAGCAUAUCAAUUAA
rnacentral:rRNA from 3 species